CUAGGUUCUAGUUUGGAGUAUUACCUUUUGUCAGCUUAAAGUGACCUUACUACUUCAUGGCCAUCAAACUAACUUUUAAUCUCAAGAAUCAGUGCGCUGACUGAAGUACACGGGCUUCUUGCAACCUGUCCAGAUGGACAAAAUGAGACGCUACUAAAAGCGCAGCGAUAACAAACUUGUCCCGAGCAUUCAGAGAGGGAGUGAUGAUCUACAUCUACAUGAUGGCCCUGGAAGAUCAAAUACAGUAGGCUACCAAGGAUUGGGAACAUGGUAUGAUUCGUUUUGAUGCUUUAUUGUUAAGUGAACUAUCUUAGUUUUAGUACUGGAAUAGAACUGUCUAAUACUCUAAUUGUGUCAUUUGGGUGUGCUGGAAUAGGCCCAUUUCUUGGCGAUUCAAUCUAUCUUGAGAAAAAAAAAAGGUAGCAACAGUUUCCACAUCGUAGUCCCAAAGUCUCUCAAGUCCAUCUUCUACCCGCGAAGAAAAUCGUCACACUCACCGGCCGAGUAACCGUCAUCAGGACUGAGCAGUUGCAAAGACCGAAACUUAAGCAAUAACACAUGCCGACUACAUGAACCACAGUAGGAACUUGUUGCAAGGGGCGGGACAAAACGCACACUUAACCAAUGUCAGGCAGGGCCUGUGAACAAGCUGAUGAAAAUCUGCCGCGGAGCCACCAACAGCAAGGAAGAAGAAUCCAACACUAUGCUCAAUUCCUUUUAAAAAAAACUAUGCUUGAUUAGAAAGAAACUUAUCUGGCCCUAGCUAUAAAUGGGUGUGGAAAGCCCCCAUCCCGCUGAAAAUCAAAAUUUUCUUGUGGCAGCUUUUUCAGAAUGUUGUGCUUACAAGAGAUAAUCUGCGCAUUAGGAAGUGGCCUGGGAACCCUACAUGCUCUUUUUGUACAAGUGUGGAAACAGCGAACCACUUGUUCUUUACUUGCCCGCUUGCCCGCACGGUUUGGGGCGUGAUGGGGAUGACAGUUGGAUCCUCUUGCUGUCCUCGAUCGCUUUGGCAAAGUUGGGCUUGGCUAUAUAAGUUCUUUCCAGGAGGAAAGCAGUUCUAUAUGAUGAUUAUUGCUGCCAUAUGUUGGGGGAUUUGGAACCUCCGCAAUAAAGUUACUUUUGAUAAACAUGUUGAUCGCACUCCGCUGGAGGCUGUUUUCACUGCAUGUUCGUUUAUGUUAUAUUGGGCAGGUUUGCUUAAAGGAGAAGACAAGGUGAAGCUCCAGGCUAUUGGCUCACGCGGCUGCUACCCUGGCAGACAGAUCCUUCCCUCGUGGCAGACUCCUCUUAGGAGACAAUGACGGGAUCCAGAUCGGCUAGCUGGGUGCAUUACUGAUGUCUUUUGGUCCUGUUUCCCACUGGGGUUUGAUGCCCGCUGGACUUGUUCAUCUUGGUAGCAUUUUGCUUCGGCGUCUUUAUCAGUAGUUUCAUCAUUGAACUCUCUUAGUUGGGCAGUGGCUUGUAAAUGUCAUCAGGUUUUCGCCCCAUGGCGGAUGGUCCGCUUUAGGAUCAUCGGGCGGUGGGUUUCCUGAUGAUGCGCCAACUCGCUUCUCCCCUUUUAGUCUCUUUUUGCUUAUCUCAUUUGGGUUCUAGUUCCUUGUUAGUAAGUGGCUGAAUGACAAAGACUUGAUAAUAGACUGAUGUAUUUCCGUUGAUUGCAAAAUUAAUGAAAAGGGAUGUGAGCCCGG
rnacentral:lncRNA from 1 species